CUCCUCCCGCCUGGGGGCAGUUCCCCCGCGCACAGUUCGCCACCUCGUCGUUCGUCCCGCGGCCGUCAGCCGCCGCCGGAGCCGCCCUUCGCCCCGCCCCCGCGGGAGUCGCCCCCUUCGCCGCGGGUUGCAUUGGCGGCGGCGGGGUCCAUCUCCUCCGUCGAUCAGCGACGGCAUGGGACACCCCGGGCUUGGCCGUGAAGAUGGAUUUCUCCGGCGGGGCAAUCGACUCCUCAAAUCUGUUCCUUGACCUCGCACCAGGGAAGCAUAAUGCCCCUGCGGCCGUUCCUCCAGGGAGGCACACUGGUUGAACCACUGAAAGGGAGCACACAAAGGUGCAGAGGCAACAACUCCAAAGGAAUCAGUGUGAUUGCUGUAAUUUGAGAAGGCACUGAUAUAACACGGGGAAUAGUUACUACUGAAGAAAUCAUUUCUGCAACACUCGAUCUUGAGUCUGCACUUGCUAACAGAGAUGCCCCCAAAACACGAUACUCCUGAUUGUUUGAUUGGUAACAAUCCUCUCGCAGAAAACUCUAAUUAGAUUCCUUUUACUUCCAAAUCUUGACAUUUUGCAUUUUAAUUAUUAUCCUAUAUGCAUAGGAUCAUAGAAAAAUAUUGCUAAUGUCUACGUUGGAAAGGAUCCAAACUCUAAACAAGUGAUUGGUGAACAAAUGAUAAUCCACUGUAGCUCUUUCAUUGUGCACGCAACCUCAUGUACGACGAAACAGGCUUCUUUUGCUUCUGCCGUCACAUUGCUGAAUAUAACUUUGAAUCUCAAUUGCACUUGACUGCAUCCUCUAUCUUGAUCUGCUUGACAACUUAUUAUAAUUUCACUGCCGAUGUUGUUAAUUUAUCUUGCAUCUCCGCCUCCUUGGCAUUAUCUUUUUUUUAGUUAAGCAUGAACAUGAUUUAGAUGCUCAUAUUCAGGUAGCAUUCUUGGGUGAGCUAGAGCUAUUGAUUUUUGUUUCAGUGCGAGACAGUUUUUUUAUAUUUUUAUUUUGCUCCUCAUUCCGUCUAGGUAGCAUAGGAUUAUACCACCGAUAAUUCUUAUUAGGAUUUGCUGCACAACAAGCAUGGUUCACGCAUAUGCCUGCAUAUUUGUCAAUAUUCUAUCAGAAUCAGUUUGCUGCGCACUGAAGUGUAACAGAAGGUGUGCUACUGUUUCCACAUCUCCUUGUGCAAAUCACUAAUAUUUUUUCCAAGUCUUUUCUUCCUUUUUGUAAUGACCCUGAAAUAGUUUCAGCAUUGCAGUCAGUUUCUUCGUUGUCUUCAGUGUUCUUAUGGCGAAGGACCAAGUGAAUUUGAUGAAAUUCCCAAGUCCCGGGUUUGUAUAGGCGAUUGUGUUCACAUGAAUAUUUUUCAUAAUAUACAAUUAAAUUUUAUAGUAAACACUUCUAUGAUGGUGAAGUUUUUUUCCAGAUCUGACCAAGGUGAACAAUGUAACCUGGGACAAUACUUUGUAUCAUAGGAAAUUUUCUAAGUCUCCAGUGUUCUUAUCUUCGACAUAUUCAGUGUUCUUUCCUUCAGGAUCCCUGUAAAAAAUUUUCAACAUGACUUAACACAGUUAACUGGAGAUGUUCCGUCAUUUAAACAUGUUGAUGGCCAAGCCAAUAUUCAGGUAUACCGGAAACCUCUGUAGCUAUACGCCUAUAACUUGGUAGCACACUUUACUGUAGUAAGAUGUUUAUAUGCAGAAGUAUUAAAAAUUGAUAUUUGCCAAGACUACCGUGAGUCAUGCAUGUUCGUUCCUUCCAGGUGAUGUACCCAACAUGCUUCUGCACAAGAAUGUCUAUGGGAGGUGAGCGUGAACCAUAUAGAUCACAUUGAUUAAAGUUGGGUAAUUUGAGGUGUGCCUGAUGGUUAUGCAAAAAAGAAAAUUUGCCUAGCAAUUGUUUUCUAUUGUUGUGGUAAAGCUUGAAUCAGUCUUUGUUGUAUACUAUGAAGAGUUACAGCAACAUGAAGCUGUCACACCAUCUCACUUGGAUGCCUGCAGGCUGGAGCUGAGUCGCGUUUGGUCAAACAUUGGAGCUGUUCUUGUGAACUUUUGUGAUGAGCGUGUGCCAUUUGUACCUAAAGGGUAUCGAGUGUUGAAUGUUUCUUUAUCUUCUUUGUUAUUCUCAUUGUACGAUUCACAUUAUCAAUCAUUCGACAAUUACAGUUUUGAUAUUAUAGUUCCAUCUCAAUCAUUCAUUUCUGCCUGAUCAACCAUGAACAUGCGACUACUUUUUUAAAGUUUGGACUAAAAUAACUGUUUGCAAAUUCAGGUCAGUGAUGCCUUUGCUUGGACUCGACAGACCAGCUAAGGGUGACCUGCAGCCCACGCGUGCCCGGCAGGAGCUAUAACUAAGUGUGAUGUGAUAGAACAUUUCUAGAUAUUUAUGAGAUAUUUAAUUUUGUGUGUUGCGCGCAGGCUAUUUCAUCUAGGACAUGGUUUCCUUGCAAAAGGUGUAUAUUUUCGCCAGUCUUCUUUUACACCGAGGGGCCUAAAUUCUUUGGAUAUAUCUCACUAUUGGGUUUGUAUAGUUGCUUUCCUCGACCAUGAUAAUUGAUGGUAUAUUCUGGAGCAUAGAGAUUAUACCUUCUAUGAGUAGUGAAUUGGGUAUAAUUUUUUGCCUUUUAAAUUCAUUGUUGUUUUGUUAAGGAAUCGUAUUUUCUGAACGUAGAAGAUAUAUUAGACAUAUAUGAAAAUGAUCAUGUACAAUUUCUUUCAUGUUACAUGCUUACAUGUCUGAUCGGUUAAAGAAAAUAGCAAGUACAAUUUUAAUUUUAGGUGGUACAAUCUGUUUUUUGCUGUGGAUGAAUGCUUUAAUAUACUAUAACUUUUGAGAUUUACAUAUGUAUGAUUUGUGCACAGGAUGACCAAAUACUGCAGAGGAACUUUUUAAUCGAUGAUUGGAAAUCAUGGUGGUUUAUGAUCCUUGCAAGAGUAUGAGAAUAUCUUUGCCACAUCACAGGACAAACAAUUUGAAAGAGAGUUGUAGUGAAAGUUGGCUAUUAUGAUGUGAACUCGCAUAUUUUAAUCAAACGACGUAUUUGAAUUAUGUGUUUA